ensembl:snRNA U6 U6 spliceosomal RNA
GUGCUCACUUUGGCAGCACAUAUACUAAAAUUGGAACAAUACAGAGUAGAUAAACAUGGCCCCCAUGCAAGGAUGACAUGCAAAUUCACGAAGCAUUCCACGUUUUU